UUGUUGGAGAAGAAUGUAUCUGAUAGUAACUGAUCAGGUAGUGACGGUAUCCAACCAGAAAGCCACGGCUAACUACGUGCCAGCAGCCGCGGUAAUACGUAGGUGGCAAGCGUUGUCCGGAUUUAUUGGGCGUAAAGCGAGCGCAGGCGGUUUCUUAAGUCUGAUGUGAAAGCCUUCGGCUCAACCGAAGAAGUGCAUCGGAAACUGGGAAACUUGAGUGCAGAAGAGGACAGUGGAACUCCAUGUGUAGCGGUGAAAUGCGUAGAUAUAUGGAAGAACACCAGUGGCGAAGGCGGCUGUCUGGUCUGUAACUGACGCUGAGGCUCGAAAGCAUGGGUAGCAAACAGGAUUAGAUACGCUGGUAGUCCAUGCCGUAAACGAUGAGUGCUAGGUGUUGGAGGGUUUCCGCCCUUCAGUGCCGCAGCUAACGCAUUAAGCACUCCG
rnacentral:rRNA from 1 species